rnacentral:rRNA from 2 species
ACGGCUCAGUAACACGUGGCUAAUCUGCCCUUAGGACGAGAACAACCCCGGGAAACUGGGGCUAACUCUCGAUAGGCGAAGAACUCUGGAAUGAGUCUUUACCUAAAAAGCUUCACGUUAUCCUCGUGAAGUCGCCUAAGGAUGAGGCCGCGACCGAUCAGGUUGUUGGCGAGGUAAUGGCUCACCAAGCCUUUUACCGGUGCGGGCCGUGGGAGCGGGAGCCCGGAGAUGGGCACUGAGACAAGGGCCCAGGCCCUACGGGGCGCAGCGGUCGCGAAAACUUUGCAAUAAGCGAAAGCUUGACAGGGCUAUCCCGAGUGCCAUCCGCUGAGGAAGGCUUUUACCCAGUCUAGAACGCUGGGGGAAUAAGGAGAGGGCAAGUCUGGUGUCAGCCGCCGCGGUAAUACCAGCUCUCCGAGUGGUGUGGAUGUUUAUUGGGCCUAAAGCAUCCGUAGCUGGCUAAGUUAGUCCCUUGUUAAAUCCACCGAAUUAAUCGUUGGAUUGCGGGGGAUACUGCUUGGCUAGGGGACGAGAGAGGCAGACGGUAUUUUCGGGGUAGGGGUGAAAUCCUAUAAUCCCGGGAAGACCACCAGUGGCGAAGGCUGUCUGCUAGAACGCGCCCGACGGUGAGGGAUGAAAGCUGGGGGAGCGAACCGGAUUAGAUACCCGGGUAGUCCCAGCUGUAAACGAUGCAGGCUAGGUGUUUGGACGGCCACGUGCCGUUCUAGUGCCGCAGGGAAGCUGUUAAGCCUGCCGCCUGGGGAGUACGAUCGCAAGAUUGAAACUUAAAGGAGUUGGCGGGGGAGCAC